rnacentral:rRNA from 1 species
GCUAAGAAUAUUCCGCAAUGGACGAAAGUCUGACGGAGCGACGCCGCGUGGAUGAAGAAGGCCGAAAGGUUGUAAAAUCCUUUUGCUGAUGAAGAAUAAGUGGUGUAGGGAAUGACAUCAUGAUGACAUUAGUCGGUGAAUAAGCCCCGGCUAACUACGUGCCAGCAGCCGCGGUAACACGUAGGGGGCAAGCGUUGUUCGGAAUUAUUGGGCGUAAAGGGCAUGUAGGCGGUUUGGUAAGCCUGGUGUGAAAUCCUGCAGCUUAACUGUAGAAUUGCAUUGGGUAAUGCCAGACUUGAAUCACAGAGGAGAAACUAGAAUUCCAGGUGUAGGGGUGGAAUCUGUAGAUAUCUGGAAGAAUACCGGUGGCGAAGGCGGGUUUCUAGCUGAUGAUUGACGCUGAGGUGCGAAAGUGCGGGGAGCAAACAGGAUUAGAAACCCUAGUAGUCC